AGAGUUUUGUAUAUCUGUCGGGUGGGAGGGAUCAGAGGAAAGAGAUGAAUGCAGGUCUGGAGUUCGUGUGUGUGAGAGUCAAGAGUGACAGAGCAGGUACAACCUAAAGGUAGGAGAGGUGAGAGAAGUUACGUUGUGCAAGCUUUGUGUGCAUUCCAGAGCUCCCUGACUUUCACACCCACAUCCUGGGAUCAUGGGAGAGCCCGAAUGAGAAAAGUUUCCAAGGUUAGAAGGUACUGAGGAACAUCAGGACCUGGAUCUAUUACUGCCAUGUUUCUCACAUCUUAAGAAGUUUUGACGACUGCUUUGAAGAUGAACUGGAGAAUUUUAUACUUUUUAAUCUUUAAUCCUGCUUUAAUCAUUGUUUUUGUGUUUUUUUUUAAAAAUUCCCUUUUAAGCAUGUCACUAAACAUUUAAUAUUGGCUUUCUACUAAAUAUAGCCACAUAAAUACAAUUGUUCUUUAUCAAUAAAAUAUUUUUUGGAUACGUUAGGGAGCAACAUUUGUGUCUAUUAACUAUUUACUGUCAAAAACUUGUAACACUUUUUUUCUACGUCUUUCAUGUUUAUACGCACGUUGAAACUUUUGCUGGAAUGAAAAUAAAAACAAAG
ensembl:lncRNA